GGGGAUGACAGGCUUCGACGGGGAAGGCUGGCCCUGGACUGCAAGCCGAGCACGCUUCACAUCUCGUAAAACUGGAAGCAAAACAAUAAGUGCCACUCGCACAACUUCUUACAACGCUCUUCCCUUGGCCGCCUAAUAACGGCCAUUGGUGAGCAAAGGUUCCCGAGACGGAACCGCGUCUGCCUCAUUCGCUCGUUGGCCGAGUGAGAGCAGGCGACACAGUAGCCAACGUGCGCUGUUUCGACGCCGAUAGAAACAGCUAAGAGACCCUUUCGGGGGUCAUCGGCUAGCUGUCGGUUGACCCGGUCGGCCGGGGCGCCCGACAGCGAAAGUGAAAUAGGCCGACUAAGCUUGUAGAGGUCCAGAGGUCGAAUUCUUCGGACGCGGGUUCGAUUCCCGCCAUCUCCACUG
rnacentral:tmRNA from 1 species